CCGCGCUAGAUGGGGAGUUAGCGGUGCCCUGUACCUGCAACCCGCUACAGCAGGGUUGAAUUCCAUCCCCCGGCCGAGGCUUGUGGGGUACCGGUCCCGGUAAGGAGCGUUGAGUUUCGGGUCUUGCGCAAUCGGCGCCUGUGAACCAUGUCAGAUCCUGACGGAAGCAGCAUUAAGCGGGAGAGCCGGUGUGCCGCAAGGACGCCUGAGAGGAGCCGCCUGCCGGGGUGCCGCCCGGAAGUUUUUGGUCAAAGGAUGGUGCGCGG
rnacentral:SRP_RNA from 1 species